CUUGGUGGGAAUGCUAAACCGGCCAUAUCUGGAAAAGCUUUCAUGAGGAAGAGCUUCGAUCCAUUCUCAAAUUCCUUGGCCAGGUCUCAGUCAUUAGAUGACCGAGAAAGCUUUUGCACUGAACAAAACUUAAAUCAUGAAUCCCGUCAAAUGCCGUCUUCUUCUUUGAAUGUGCUUGUCCAUGAAAUUCUUUCACACAAGAAGCCUGAAGAUGUUGCAGUGAAUCUAUUUAACAAAUUCAUGAAAGAGUUCAGAAAAUGAGCAGGUGUUAGGUUGCCCAGAUACCUACUGGUUUUUGUUUUUCAAAUGAACUAAUAUGCUCAUGAAUCAUGUUGUUUUAACUAUCCUUAAAGAAGGAGAAAGAGGUAACUAAAUGCAGUUUGUUGAAGGUAAACUUAUAUAGCAAUAUGAAACAUGAAGA